rnacentral:rRNA from 1 species
GGACUACUGGGGUAUCUAAUCCCAUUCGCUACCCACGCUUUCGUGUUUCAACGUCAGGAAUGCGCCAGUGAAUUGCCUUCGCUUUUGGUGUUCCCCAUAAUAUCAACGGAUUUCACCCCUACACUAUGAGUUCCAUUCACCUCUCGCACCCUCUAGUUGUACCGUUUCUUUUGCACCUUCCCGGUUAAGCCGGGAGCUUUAACAAAAGACUAAUACAACCGCCUACACACCCUUUACGCCCAAUAAUUCCGGAUAACGCUCGGGGCACUCGUAUUACCGCGGCUGCUGGCAC